AAAUUGAAGAGUUUGAUCAUGGCUCAGAUUGAACGCUGGCGGCAGGCCUAACACAUGCAAGUCGAACGGUAACAGGAAGCAGCUUGCUGCUUUGCUGACGAGUGGCGGACGGGUGAGUAAUGUCUGGGAAACUGCCUGAUGGAGGGGGAUAACUACUGGAAACGGUGGCUAAUACCGCAUAACGUCGCAAGACCAAAGAGGGGGACCUUCGGGCCUCUUGCCAUCAGAUGUGCCCAGAUGGGAUUAGCUUGUUGGUGAGGUAACGGCUCACCAAGGCGACGAUCCCUAGCUGGUCUGAGAGGAUGACCAGCCACACUGGAACUGAGACACGGUCCAGACUCCUACGGGAGGCAGCAGUGGGGAAUAUUGCACAAUGGGCGCAAGCCUGAUGCAGCCAUGCCGCGUGUAUGAAGAAGGCCUUCGGGUUGUAAAGUACUUUCAGCGGGGAGGAAGGUGUUGCGGUUAAUAACCGCAGCAAUUGACGUUACCCGCAGAAGAAGCACCGGCUAACUCCGUGCCAGCAGCCGCGGUAAUACGGAGGGUGCAAGCGUUAAUCGGAAUUACUGGGCGUAAAGCGCACGCAGGCGGUCUGUCAAGUCGGAUGUGAAAUCCCCGGGCUCAACCUGGGAACUGCAUUCGAAACUGGCAGGCUUGAGUCUUGUAGAGGGGGGUAGAAUUCCAGGUGUAGCGGUGAAAUGCGUAGAGAUCUGGAGGAAUACCGGUGGCGAAGGCGGCCCCCUGGACAAAGACUGACGCUCAGGUGCGAAAGCGUGGGGAGCAAACAGGAUUAGAUACCCUGGUAGUCCACGCCGUAAACGAUGUCUACUUGGAGGUUGUGCCCUUGAGGCGUGGCUUCCGGAGCUAACGCGUUAAGUAGACCGCCUGGGGAGUACGGCCGCAAGGUUAAAACUCAAAUGAAUUGACGGGGGCCCGCACAAGCGGUGGAGCAUGUGGUUUAAUUCGAUGCAACGCGAAGAACCUUACCUGGUCUUGACAUCCACGGAAGUUUUCAGAGAUGAGAAUGUGCCUUCGGGAACCGUGAGACAGGUGCUGCAUGGC
rnacentral:rRNA from 1 species